GAUGAACGCUAGCGGCAGGCUUAACACAUGCAAGUCGAGGGGCAGCGCGAUGUAGCAAUACAUUGGCGGCGACCGGCGCACGGGUGCGUAACACGUAUGGAACUUACCCUUUACUGGGAGAUAGCCCGGAGAAAUCCGGAUUAAUAUCCCAUAAUAAACGAAGUGGCAUCACUUUGUUUUGAAAGCUCCGGCGGUAAAGGAUGGCCAUGCGCACGAUUAGCUAGUAGGUGAGGUAACGGCUCACCUAAGCUACGAUCGUUAGGGGGCCUGAGAGGGUUAUCCCCCACACUGGUACUGAGACACGGACCAGACUCCUACGGGAGGCAGCAGUGAGGAAUAUUGCGCAAUGGAGGCAACUCUGACGCAGCCAUGCCGCGUGCAGGAAGAAGGCGCUACGCGUUGUAAACUGCUUUUAACCGGGAAGAAACCCUCCGACGUGUCGGAGGUUGACGGUACCGGAGGAAUAAGCACCGGCUAACUUCGUGCCAGCAGCCGCGGUAA
rnacentral:rRNA from 1 species